ACUGAGUCUCGUAAUUCCUCCAUUGCAGACAACGUCACGGCGUUCUGUGAAGAAUGUGCUCUACUGCUAUAUUUUAAAAAUAUAUUUAUACUAUUAUUACCAGUCACCUUGUUUCAAUUAACGUUUCCUUCUUAUGUAUAUUUCAAACGAAUUUCAGGCAAACGUGGACAGAAGAGCAGCAGUGCGAUGUUCAGUGAAUAUUUGAAAGGAUGGUUCAUCUAUUUUGUUGCAACAUGGGCGUUCCUAGAGACUUUCCUCCUGGCCGGAUAUAGAGUAGGCUGGGCCAUUCUUGUCUACGUACUCAAGAUGGAAGGGAUCUACAGCUCUCUGUGCCAUGUUAACAACACAACACUAGUAUAUGCUAGCAUAACAUACAGCAGUGAAUUGUCUGUUAUGAAUAACACUACCCGGGAACAAUAUGACGAAUCUUGUAACUCUAGCUCUGAACGUCCUAUGACCUCCUCUCAACGUUCUACGGAAGACGAAGACAUUGGAUGCCCUGAGCAGGACGACAUGUUUGAGUUGUGCGUUACCAUUUACAGCAUUACAUCAACUUUCGUUGCCCUGGUCACGGGUCAUAUGAAUUUUUUAUAUGGAAUCAGGACCACAAGAUUGUUUUCCAUAUAUGCUGUUGCUACUUGGGCAUUCCUUGAAACUUUCCUCCUGUCCGGUUAUUACGCAGGCUGGGCCUCACUGGUCUACAUCUUCAAGAAGGAAGGAAUGUUCGCUUUUCUGUGCCAUAGCACAUCACAGAGAUAUACCAACAACACAACAUCAUCAUACGCUGACAUCACGCAUGGAAGAGACUUGGAUUUUACACAAGAAUAUAAGGUGUCAUUGAACCUUACCCCUGAACGUCCCCUGAACAUGGAGGAUGAAGACACUGGAUGCUCUGAUCAAGAUGCCAUAUUUGAGUUGUGUGUUACCAUUUGCAGCAUUGUAUUAACUGUCGUUUCCCUGGUCAUGGCUCAUAUAAAUUUUGUAUAUGGAAU